rnacentral:rRNA from 1 species
AGAGUUUGAUCAUGGCUCAGGAUGAACGCUAGCGGCGUGCCUAAUGCAUGCAAGUCGAACGGGAACCUUUGGACUCGUCUGAAGGUGAGAGUGGCGAACGGGUGAGUAACACGUUGGUGACCUGCCCCAGAGAGGGGGAUAACUAUUGGAAACGAUAGCUAAUACCCCGGAUGUCAUUAUUGUUAGAGAGUAAUGACUAAAGCUCCGGCGCUCUGGGAGGGGCCUGCGGCCCAUCAGCUAGUUGGUAGGGUAAUGGCCUACCAAGGCAAAGACGGGUAGGGGGCGUGAGAGCGUGACCCCCCACACUGGUACUGACACACGGACCAGAUACCUACGGGUAGCAGCAGCAAGGAAUAUUGCCCAAUGGACGAAAGUCUGAGGCAGCAACGCCGCGUGGAGGAAGAAGGCCUUCGGGUUGUAAACUCCUUUUCUGGGGGAAGAGAAAGGACGGUACCCCAGGAAUAAGCCUCGGCUAUCUACGUGCCAGCAGCCGCGGUAAAACGUAGGAGGCGAGCGUUAUCCGGAUUUACUGGGCGUAAAGCGCGUGCAGGCGGUUUCUUAAGUCGGACGUGAAAGCUCUUGGCUCAACUGAGAGAGGCCGUUCGAAACUGGGAAACUUGAGGGUGGAAGAGGAGAGUGGAAUUCCCGGUGUAGUGGUGACCUGCGUACAUAUCGGGAGGAACACCAGUGGCGAAGGCGGCUCUCUGGGCCAUUCCUGACGCUCAGACGCGAAAG